CCUACGGGGAGCAGCAGUGAGGAAUAUUGGUCAAUGGCCGGAAGGCUGAACCAGCCAUGCCGCGUGAAGGUCAGUGCCCUAUGGGCGUUAAACUUCCUUUUUGCGGGAGCAAUAAUGGUCACGUGUGGCCAGACGAGAGUACCGUACGAAUAAGCAUCGGCUAACUCCGUUCCAGCGACCGCGGUAAUACGGGGGAUGCAAGCGUUUUCCGGAUUUAUUGGGUUUAAAGGGUGCGUAGGCUGGGAGGUUAGUCAGCGGUGAAAUUCCCCCGGUCAACGGGGUGAAGUGCCAUUGAUACUGGCUUGCUGGAGUGCGAGUGACGUAGGCGGAAUGUGUGGUGUAGCGGGGAAAUGCAUAGAUAUCACACAGAACACCGAUUGCGAAGGCAUCUCACGAAUCCGCGAUUGACGCUGAUGCACGAAAGCGUGGGUAUCAAACAGGAUUAGAUACCCCUGUAGUC
rnacentral:rRNA from 1 species